AGGGGUAUAGUGUUAACGGCUAGCAUAAUGGUCUCCAAAACCACAGGUGAGGGUUCGAAUCCUUCUACCCCUG
rnacentral:tRNA from 1 species